rnacentral:rRNA from 1 species
CCUACGGGGGGCAGCAGUGAGGAAUAUUGGUCAAUGGGCGCGAGCCUGAACCAGCCAAGUAGCGUGAAGGAUGACUGCCCUACGGGUUGUAAACUUCUUUUAUAAAGGAAUAAAGUGAGGCACGUGUGCCUUUUUGUAUGUACUUUAUGAAUAAGGAUCGGCUAACUCCGUGCCAGCAGCCGCGGUAAUACGGAGGAUCCGAGCGUUAUCCGGAUUUAGUGGGUUUACAGGGCGCGUAGAGGGGUUGUUAAGUCAGUUGGGCAAGUUUGCGGCUCAACCGGAAAAGUGCAAUUGAUACUGGCAGUCUUUAGUACCGUUGUGGUAUGCGGCAUUCGUGGUGUCGCGG